AUCCAGCUAACGAGUCCCAAAUUGGACGAAACUCGCGUCCUGUAU
rfam:Schistosoma rodhaini strain Burundi genome assembly, scaffold: SROB_scaffold0014918